rnacentral:lncRNA from 1 species
GAAUCAGGUACCUUCAACAUUAUGUGACUGCAGAGUGUGCUCUGAGGCAGCUGAAACAAUAUUUGAAGGAAGAAUGUGAAAACAUUUUGGGCCACUGGGUAUCAGGCAGCAGGGUUGCUGUGCUAAUGAAAAUUUGGAACACCAUUGCAAACUGAAGUGUUUGACAGCAGCAGGAAUUUUUCUGUGCUGUUUAUGAGGUAUAUAAAAAGGAAAACUGAUGAAAAAGGGAAAACCUUUGAAAAACUCUUCAGUUCCAGCUCUAUUUCUAUUGUCUAUCAACAUAUUGCAAGCAGGAAAAAAAUGAAACAUCAGGAGCUAAAAC